AAUUGUGAUGUAUUUUCAUCCUCAGAAGAGAGAUGUAACACAGAGAGGGAAACUACAUUCUUGGUGGGCCAGCCAGGAGAUCAGCUUGAUUUAUUACUGCACCUUGACAUUUUGGUUUUUGUUCUUUUGAACAUGGGGAGGAUGGCCUUCGAAAAGCAUCUGUUGAAUACGAAGAAUAAGCAGGAGACGCAAAGAAGCAGAGAGAAACACAGCAUGUCUCCAACUGCAAUUAAUUUAUCUUGCAUGCUAUUUUCUAAGUUCCUGUGGUUACCAGUCUAAACCCAUGGUGUUCUCUGAGGAGGGCUCCUCACACAAUCCAGCCAAUCAGUGUUGCCCUCUCCCUCUUCUGAGCUUUCAGAGAUCAGAUGCGAAUGACAACUGGACCGAACAUAUUUCUUUUAUUUCCACUACAGAUUGCUUAACCAUUCUGCUUGUGAAUCAGAGAAGUCUCAACAGGAAAGUCUGAGACAUCUUGACUUAUCUAAUCCUCCAAAUUUCCUAGGUACUGCCAGCUCAUUGUAAACAUGGUGGCCUGCAUUAUCCUGCAUGCUUCCUCUGGGCAAAAAGAAUUUGGAAGAUUUCCUCUUGUCUCACCAUCUCCUUAAAUGCUCUCUUCUUAACUUUCUCAGUAAACAGCUUGCCACUAGAGGUUUUCCAAUAAGUGUUGCCUUGCAACACAGUACCCAUCCUCUGGGAGUAUUCUGAUGUGCUUUCUAUUACUUCAAAGUAGGUAUCCUCCCACUUUCAUCAUGCCUCAAGCAAACACACACAAACGCAUGUUAUUUCAAACUUAGAAAUGUUCUAUUAUGUACCUAGCCAUAUUUUCACAACAAAGAGAGUCAGAUAAAAAAUUCAGUUGUAAACAUAUACUACUACACCCCUGUUUUGUAUACAAUAUUCCUGAAGUGUAUUCCUUUAAGCUUAAGAGUAUCCCCCUUGGGAAUAUGACUGAAAGUUUAGACUGGGAGUAGAAAAAAAAA